rnacentral:tRNA from 1 species
GAAAUAUGUUAACAAGGGUAAGCUUCUAACUUAACCCUUAAGCGAUGAAAUCUCGUUUAUAUUUCU